rnacentral:rRNA from 1 species
UCCAGACUCCUACGGGAGGCAGCAGUGGGGAAUCUUUCACAAUGGGCGAAAGCCUGAUGGAGCAACGCCGCGUGCGGGAUGAAGGCCUUCGGGAUGUAAACUUCUUUUAGAAGCGAGGAAUAUGAUGGUAACUGAUUAAGAAGGAUCGGCUAACUACGUGCCAGCAGCCGCGGUCAUACGUAGGAUCCGAGCGUUAUCCGGAGUGACUGGGUGUAAAGAGUUGCGUAGGUGGCAUAAUAAGUAGCUAGUGAAAUCUGGUGGCUCAACCAUUCAGACUAUUAGCUAAACUGUUAAGCUCGAGACCGUUAGGGGUAACUGGAAUUUCUAGUGUAGGAGUGAAAUCCGUAGAUAUUAGAAGGAACACCAAUAGCGUAGGCAGGUUGCUGGGACGGUCCUGACUCUAAG